rnacentral:rRNA from 1 species
UACGUAGGGCGCAAGCGUUGUCCGGAAUUAUUGGGCGUAAAGAGCUCGUAGGCGGUCUGUCGCGUCCGUUGUGAAAACUCGAGGCUCAACCUCGGGCUUGCAGUGGAUACGGGCAGACUAGAGUGCGGUAGGGGAGACUGGAAUUCCUGGUGUAGCGGUGAAAUGCGCAGAUAUCAGGAGGAACACCGGUGGCGAAGGCGGUUCUCUGGGAAUGUCCUGACGCUGAGGAGCGAAAGUGUGGGGAGCGAACAGG